AUAUUCCUGUACCAGUUGCUUUUGUUUGAGCGAUGGAGGGACGCAGGAGGCUAAGGAAUGCACACGAUCGGAAAUGUGUGUCCAAGCAGCAAGUCUGAGAACGAGUGAAAUGCUUUUUCUCUCAAGGACAAGCUGUGAUGGGGAGCGAAAUUUAGUAGCGAAGUUCCUGAUGUCACACUGCCAAGAAAAGCUUCUAGUGAGAAAGUAACUGCCCGUACCGCAAACCGACACAGGUAGUUGAGGAGAGAAUCCUAAGGUGUGCGAGAGAACUCUCGUUAAGGAACUCGGCAAAAUGACCCCGUAACUUCGGGAGAAGGGGUGCUGACCGCAAGGUCAGCCGCAGUGAAUAGGCCCAAGCGACUGUUUAUCAAAAACACAGGUCUCUGCAAAAUCGAAAGAUGACGUAUAGGGGCUGACGCCUGCCCGGUGCUGGAAGGUUAAGAGGAGAGGUUAGCGCAAGCGAAGCUUUGAAUUGAAGCCCCAGUAAACGGCGGCCGUAACUAUAACGGUCCUAAGGUAGCGAAAUUCCUUGUCGGGUAAGUUCCGACCCGCACGAAAGGCGUAACGAUUUGGGCACUGUCUCAACGAGAGACUCGGUGAAAUUAUAGUACCAGUGAAGAUGCUGGUUACCCGCGACAGGACGGUAAGACCCCAUGGAGCUUUACUGCAGUUUGUUAUUGCGUGUUUGUAUCACAUGUACAGGAUAGGUAGGAGCCGAAGAUACCGGGACGCCAGUCUCGGAGGAGGCAACGGUGGGAUACUACCCUUGUGAUAUGACCACUCUAACCCGCUGCUCUUAGCGAGCAGGGAGACAGUGUCAGACGGGCAGUUUGACUGGGGCGGUCGCCUCCAAAAAUGUAACGGAGGCGCCCAAAGGUUCCCUCAGAAUGGUUGGAAAUCAUUCGUAGAGUGUAAAGGCAGAAGGGAGCUUGACUGCGAGACCUACAAGUCGAGCAGGGACGAAAAUCGGGCUUAGUGAUCCGGUGGUUCCGCAUGGAAGGGCCAUCGCUCAACGGAUAAAAGCUACCCUGGGGAUAACAGGCUUAUCUCCCCCAAGAGUUCACAUCGACGGGGAGGUUUGGCACCUCGAUGUCGGCUCAUCGCAUCCUGGGGCUGUAGUCGGUCCCAAGGGUUGGGCUGUUCGCCCAUUAAAGCGGUACGCGAGCUGGGUUCAGAACGUCGUGAGACAGUUCGGUCCCUAUCCGUCGCGGGCGUUGGAAAUUUGAGAGGAGCUGUCCUUAGUACGAGAGGACCGGGAUGGACACACCGCUGGUGUACCAGUUGUUCUGCCAAGAGCAUCGCUGGGUAGCUAUGUGUGGACGGGAUAAACGCUGAAAGCAUCUAAGCGUGAAGCCCCCCUCAAGAUGAGAUUUCCCAUCACUUCAAGUGAGUAAGACCCCUGAAAGAUGAUCAGGUAGAUAGGUUGGGAGUGGAAGUACAGCGAUGUAUGGAGCGGACCAAUACUAAUCGGUCGAGGACUUAACCAA
rnacentral:rRNA from 1 species